rnacentral:rRNA from 1 species
ACUGAAGGCGGCGGACGGGUGAGUAAUGCAUAGGAAACUGCCCAGUAGUGGGGGAUAGCCCGGGGAAACCCGGAUUAAUACCGCGUACGCCCUUCGGGGGAAAGCAGGGGAUCUUCGGACCUUGCGCUAUUGGAUGUGCCUAUGUCGGAUUAGCUAGUUGGUGGGGUAAAGGCCUACCAAGGCGACGAUCCGUAGCUGGUCUGAGAGGAUGAUCAGCCACAUCGGGACUGAGACACGGCCCGAACUCCUACGGGAGGCAGCAGUGGGGAAUAUUGGACAAUGGGGGCAACCCUGAUCCAGCCAUGCCGCGUGUGUGAAGAAGGCUUUCGGGUUGUAAAGCACUUUCAGUGAGGAGGAAAACUCUGCGACUAAUACUCGUAGGGCUUGACGUUACUCACAGAAGAAGCACCGGCUAACUCCGUGCCAGCAGCCGCGGUAAUACGGAGGGUGCAAGCGUUAAUCGGAAUUACUGGGCGUAAAGCGCGCGUAGGUGGUUUGAUAAGCGAGAUGUGAAAGCCCCGGGCUUAACCUGGGAACGGCAUUUCGAACUGUCAGGCUAGAGUGUGGUAGAGGGUAGUGGAAUUUCCUGUGUAGCGGUGAAAUGCGU